rnacentral:rRNA from 1 species
UACGGAGGGGGCUAGCGUUGUUCGGAAUUACUGGGCGUAAAGCGCUCGUAGGCGGAUUGAUAAGUCAGAGGUGAAAGCCCAGGGCUCAACCUUGGAAUUGCCUUUGAAACUGUCAGUCUUGAGUUCAGGAGAGGUGAGCGGAAUUCCGAGUGUAGAGGUGAAAUUCGUAGAUAUUCGGAUGAACACCAGAGGCGAAGGCGGCUCACUGGACUGAUACUGACGCUGAGGAGCGAAAGCGUGGGGAGCAAACAGG